AGUUGCAGUACCUUGACAAGAUACAGGGAAAGUAGAAAUAAUUUCAGUUGUAUCCAUUUGGACUCUGCAGAUGACUUUAAGGUGUAAUACCUUAAAAGACAAUUUGUUAAAGUGAUUAAGAACGUGGACUCUAGAAUCUGGUUGCUUGAGUUUUAGUUCUGGCUUCUCCACUUAGUAACCCUGUGAUCUUAAGUCUUAAAGACUGUGCCUCUUUUCAUCAGUCUAAUAAGGAUAAAAAUAGUAUUUGAUUUAUCAUUGUAAAGAUCAAAUGAACUAAUACACAUAACCAUGCUUAGAAUCGUCCCUGUACAUAGGAGUCAUUAUGUUGGCUGCUGUUAUUGUUGUUAUCAUUAUUAGAAUAUGUUUUGCAAAAUAAUUCUAUGAUUUGAUAAAACACUUAGUGAUAUGAAGAGGAUUUCUUUCAUUAGGAGCAAUUCUAGGAAAUUUCACUCUAUUUCCUUUCCUGCUUUCAAUACCCUCUCAAAUUUGUAGAACCAAGGUGUGGAAGAUUUAUUGUGCAGUUUUAAUUAUUAAAUCAUGCUAAUCUUAUUGUGUAUUUCAGGAAAUAGAAGAAAAAGGUCUUUGAAAGUUUAUCACUAUAACUACAGUUUUUGUUGAUUAUCUUAAAAUGCCAUUUUGAAAAUGUUUAUUGCCUACUUUUGUCAUCCUCAUCUAGACACUGUGACUUAGCCUAAUUAAAGUCAAAGCUGUCAUGUCAGAUCUCAUUUAUGCUACUCCCCCUCACUCUAUGAUAUUAGCUUUGUUCUUCCAUGGAUUUAUGUGGUCCUCUGGUCUCUCCUACAUAGGUCAGGUUUUGCUCACCUCAACUCUCAUACACUAAGUGAAUGUUUUCACGGAACCUAUAGGAAGCAAUUUGCUUUCUCAGAAAAACUAAACUAGCCUAAAAACUUAUCUUGGAGCUUCUGUUGUGGUUCAGUGGGUUAAAACCCAGCUUAGUGUCUGUGAGGAUGUGGGUUCAAUCCCUGGCCUUACUUAGUGGGUUAAGGAUUGGCAUUGCAGCAAGCUGUGAUGUAGGUCAUGGAUAAUGCUUGGAUCUGGCGUUGCUAUGGCUGUGGCAUAGAGGAAAGCUGUCAGACUGGAGGAAGCCCCACACAUAAACAGGGCUGUCCCUAGUUAUUCUUGGAUCUGUGAAAAUCGUGUAGUAAAUUUAAUGAGCCUGUUUUAACUGCAUGCCAGUUGGAAUUUCAAGGGGCCCUAGCAAUUUGGUGCCAAUGAUCACCAAAACUUGUGGUUGUUUAAUUUAUUUCAAAAAGAGUAUAUUUAAGUCUAUACCUAAAAUAUGUUUUAGUCAGCUGAAUUCUACUAUCCUUUCUUGAAUGGAAGAGAAUGCUAUACCAUUUCAGUAAAUGUUCUGUCUAGCUCCAAGGAAGAGACUUGCUCAGAUAGCUUUAAACACCGAGUUCUUAUUUCAAACAACUCUGCUUUGGGUAUUCGACAUUAGGUGUGUCUUGUUUCACUCUUGGCUGUGCAUGUCAUUGUGAAUUAUACUCUUCCAUUGCCCCAGAGGAUGGAGGUUUCAUUUAGUUCCAUUAGUUGCCAUCAGCAUUCAUUAGGCUUAUAUUCAGUUGCAUACAACAGAAAACUCAAACAGUAGUGGCUUAAAUGAGGUGGGAUUUUUUUUUUUUUUCUUUCCCCUGUAACAUGAAAAGUGUGGAGUUAGGUGAUUUGGUGUUUUGAGCUGGAUGUAUUGCCAUCCUCAGUAAAAUCUCCUAGUGAGGGAAAAAGAGAAAAAUAGAUAUUGGGUGGAUAGCUUAUUGUCCGCUACAUCCUUCUAUAUAGACAGUCCUUAUGGGGGAGCCUUCAGCUAGUAAACCCUGGACUAAUCAUUUGUAUCCAGGCAAUUAAAGUUGGUUUAUGUUGAAGUUUUUUGUUUUUCAAGUCAUAAAGAACUGCUUUGGCUUGAUUUUUGAGGAAGGCAUAGGGUAGUGUAAUUGGCAAGUGCCAUGAGGCUUUGUGCUCUGUUCAUUAGGAAUAGAGUUAUUUAAAAUGCUUGUGAAAAGAAUGCAUAACUGUGGAUAUGUGUGUUUAUGGUAGUUGGAAUAGAGGAUCAACAAUUGCUAUCUUUGAGGGAUUUCCUGUCGUGGGUGCAGCCCUAAAAAGACCCCCUCCCCACCAAAAAAUUGCCAUCUUCCAGUAAUCCAGCCUCAUUGCUAAUUCAGAAUCUUUGAUCUUUCCAAACAUGGUAUUGUAUUUUGUUACGUAUUCUAUUAGAAUUGUAAUUUUUUUUUUUUUUUUAUGGCUGUACCUGCAGAAUGUGGAAUUUCCUAAGCUGGGGUCCAGUCAUAGCUACAGCUGCCAGUCUAUGCCACACCCAUAGCAACAGCGGGUCUGAGCCACACCUGUGACCUACACUGCAGCUCACGCAACACUGGAACCUUAACCCAUUGAGCGAGGCCAGGAUCGAACCCGCAUGGAUGUUGGGCUCUUACCCACUGAUCCACAAUGGGAACUUCUAGAAUUGUGUUUUGUUUUGUUUUGUUUUUUACUUUAAUGGCAGUUCACUGGUAUUUAUUUAGUAGCUUUGAAUAUUUAGCCAAUAUUUACCCUCUCCUCUCCCUACCUCAGGUAUCAGAAACCCUUUGUUUUCUCUCAUCCUUGUAUCCCCAGUACCAGGUAUAUAUGAGGUACUAAAUAAAUAUUUGUUGAAUAAAUGAUUGACUGAAGGAACAAGAAUGGUAGCAUUCUGUUUUACUCUGGGAUCGGGAAUUUGCUAUUUUGGGAAUUCUCCUUUUCAACUUUUAUACAGCUUUAGAUAGACAACAUAAUAGAAUAGAAAUAAUAUGACUUUGGAAUCAUUUACACAAUAAGCCUUUUUUGUUCCCCUACUAUGUGUCAGGUACUCUGUUAGAUGCUAGAGUAGGAAGACAAAUAGGUAUGUUCUCUUAUCUCAAGGGAACCUAUAAAAACUUGAAUUAUUGAACUUACUGUGUAAGUGCUAUAUGUGUAUACCAGGUUCCAAAGCUGCAUGCAUAAAAGGUGUAUUUAACCUAGGUUGGAACUGUGGGUUUCAAGUAAGCAGUGUUGCAGUAUGAGAAGACUUUUCAGAGGAAAGACUACCCCUGUGGGUCAGAAUUAGCCAGGUAAAGGUAAAUGGGGAUUAUGUUCUAGGUAAAGAACACUGCUUGCGCAUAGGUACAGAUAAGAGGAUGGGGUGGGGGGAGGGAGAGGUUGGUGGGAUAUGGGGAGUGGCAGAAGACCUAAGGAAGCAACUAAUGAAGGACUUAGACUUUAUCCAGAAUAUCAUUAAAGAUAUUUUCAAAACAACUGUUUUCUUUCUGAUGAAAGGGGAAGCACAUUUUUAUCUUUUAGAAGAUCUCAGAAAAACCAGAAAGGUAUGUGAAGAAGACUGUGAUUACUUGUAAUCUCUUCAACCAGAGAUAACCAGUGUUAACAUUUUGUUGUACAUACUGCAUAAUUCCUCUGUUUCUCUCCCUUCUCAUUUUCUUACCUUCUUUCCCCCUUUUCUUCUCUUUUCCUUCUCUGGCCAGAUUUGGAUGGCCCUUAUGGCAAGGAAUUGAAGGGCUCACUGAAAAAAGAGGUUAAGGCAUGGACAGAGGUAAAGUUUUUUUCUUGGAGUCAUUUUCUUUUCUUUUCUUUCUUGCUUUUUUAGGGCUGCACCUGUGACAUGUGGAAAUUCCCAGGCUAGGGAUGGAAGUGGAGCUGCAGCUGCAGGCCCAUGCCACAGCCACAGCAAGGGCGGAUCUGAGCUGCAUCUGGGACCUACACCACAGCUCAUGGCAACAGCCAGAUCCUUAACCCCCUGAGUGAGGCCAGGGAUCAAACCCACAUCCUCGUGGAUAAUAGUCAGAUUCAUAACCUGCUGAGCCACACUGGGAUCUCCUGAAGUCACUUUCCGAUAUAAGUAUUUUAGAAAGAAAUCUAGUUUUGGGGGUGGGAAGUUUGGAUUUAGUUAAUAAUAGGCUUGUGUUUUUUUUUUUUUUUUUUUUUUCACAAAGCACUGAGGAUAUGUCCAUUUCUGUUUUAAGAACUUUCAAAAAUUACAUAUUUAAGACAAAAAAAAAAAAAAAAGGAGUUUCUGUCAUGGCGCAGUGGUUAACGAAUCCAACUAGGAACCAUGAGGUUGUGGGUUCGCUCCCUGCCCUUGCUCAGUGGGUUAAGGAUCCGGCGUUGCUGUGAGCUGUGGUGUAGGUUGCAGACGCGGCUCGGAUCCCGAGUUGCUGUGGCUCUGGAGUAGGCCGGUGGCUACAGCUCUGAUUAGACCCCUAGCCUGGGAACCUCCAUAUGCCACGGGAGCAGCCCAAGAAAUAGCAAAAAG
rnacentral:lncRNA from 1 species